UACGUAGGUGACAAGCGUUGUCCGGAUUUAUUGGGCGUAAAGAGCGUGUAGGCGGCUUUACAGGUCCGUUGUGAAAACUCGAGGCUCAACCUCGAGACGCCGGUGGAAACCGUAAAGCUAGAGUCCGGAAGAGGAGAGUGGAAUUCCUGGUGUAGCGGUGAAAUGCGCAGAUAUCAGGAAGAACACCCGUGGCGAAGGCGGCUCUCUGGGACGGUACUGACGCUGAGACGCGAAAGCGUGGGGAGCGAACAGG
rnacentral:rRNA from 1 species